AGCAGCCGCGGUAAUUCCAGCUCCAAUAGCGUAUAUUAAAGUUGUUGCAGUUAAAAAGCUCGUAGUUGAAUUUCGGGAUCAAUACGUUGGUCGUGCUUUCGGGUACGUACUGGCGUCAUUGGUUUCUCUCUUCUGACGAACCAUGAUGUCAUUAGUUUGGUGUUAUGGGGAGUUAGGACUGUUACUUUGAAAAAAUUAGAGUGUUUAAAGCAAGCUAACGCUUGAAUACAUUUAGCAUGGAAUAAUGAAAUAGGACGUUCGAUCCUAUUUUGUUGGUUUCUAGGAUUGACGUAAUGAUUAAUAGGGAUAGUUGGGGGCAUUAGUAUUCAAUUGUCAGAGGUGAAAUUCUUGGAUUUAUUGAAGACUAACUACUGCGAAAGCAUUUUGCCAAGGAUGUUUUCAUUAAUCAAGAACGAAAGUUAGGGGAUCGAAGACGAUCAGAUACCGUCGUAGUCUUAACCAUAAACUAUGCCGACUAGGGAUCGGAUGAUGUUAAUUUUUUCAAUGACUCAUUCGGCGC
rnacentral:rRNA from 1 species